GCCUGGGUGGCUCAGCGGUUGAGCGUCUGUCUUUGGCCCAGGGAGUGAUCCCAGAGACCUGGGAUCAAGUCCCGCCUUGGGCU
rnacentral:tRNA from 1 species